CCAAGAUGAAGCCAAAGCUCUCCAUCUUCUCCACAGAGCUCUGGCUGCCUGUUCCACCCAGCCCCGCAGGAAUCAGAGCCUCAGGCCACAGCAGGGCUUCCUUCAAGUACAUCUGACUUUUCAUUGUCAUCCUAUUCCACCAGUUCUAGCAGCCU